rnacentral:rRNA from 1 species
ACGGGUGAGUAACGCGUGGGAAUCUACCCAUCCCUACGGAACAACUCCGGGAAACUGGAGCUAAUACCGUAUACGCCCUUUGGGGGAAAGAUUUAUCGGGGAUGGAUGAGCCCGCGUUGGAUUAGCUAGUUGGUGGGGUAAAGGCCUACCAAGGCGACGAUCCAUAGCUGGUCUGAGAGGAUGAUCAGCCACAUUGGGACUGAGACACGGCCCAAACUCCUACGGGAGGCAGCAGUGGGGAAUAUUGGACAAUGGGCGCAAGCCUGAUCCAGCCAUGCCGCGUGAGUGAUGAAGGUCUUAGGAUUGUAAAGCUCUUUCACCGGAGAAGAUAAUGACGGUAUCCGGAGAAGAAGCCCCGGCUAACUUCGUGCCAGCAGCCGCGGUAAUACGAAGGGGGCUAGCGUUGUUCGGAAUUACUGGGCGUAAAGCGCACGUAGGCGGAUAUUUAAGUCAGGGGUGAAAUCCCAGAGCUCAACUCUGGAACUGCCUUUGAUACUGGGUAUCCUGAGUAUGGAAGAGGUAAGUGGAAUUGCGAGUGUAGAGGUGAAAUUCGUAGA